GGCGGGGCUGGGGAAGGCGAAGCGACAGCUGAUUGGUGCGCGCGCCUCAUUCACAGCAACACAAUGGGCUACGGGCGCGCGCACCUCGGGUCUCUGCACCCGUCGCUGGCCGCAAUCCUGCAGUUACUCUUUUCGCCCAGGGGAUCCCCCCACACUCUACGCCUGGGGCGCUCCUGUUGGAGCCGCGGGUGCCGUCGAGGCCCGGCUGCAGCCGGAGGAAAUGAGGAGAGAGAAGGUGAUGAGUUCCAGAAUCAGUCAUUCACCCCCACGCGGUAGUUCCGGGGAAGACCUGUGCGUGGUAGUGGAUGUGGCUUUUUUUUUCCUUUUCCUGCCCCCUCCCAUCUCUAAUCCCCAGCGUCUGUUCGCUUCCACAAAUAGAACCUUCUGUUGGAUGAAAUAAAAGCAAA
rnacentral:lncRNA from 1 species